UUUUAUUUACUUCUACCUAUUUCUAUAUGUAAUUAUUAGCUUACAUGAUUAUGGCCGUGACAGUAGCUAAUAACAACUUGAAAAUGACAAGAAUCAACAUGAUAUAGAAUCAAUGAUCAAAUCAAUCUUUAAUAAAGCAUAACCUUGGCCAAAGUACAAGUAGACUAAGAUUCUACUACAAAUACAUAAAAAAUAAAUAAAUAAAUAAAUAAAGACAUAGGUACAUUCAACAAUACAACUAUUGCAUGAGUAGUGCUGCAUUCCACAAAAGAAGAAUCAUACAAAACCAAAGAAAUCCCUUUAAUUUCCUAUU
rnacentral:lncRNA from 1 species